GAUGAACGCUAGCGGCAGGCCUAACACAUGCAAGUCGAGGGGUAGAGGAAGCUUGCUUCCUUGAGACCGGCGCACGGGUGCGUAACGCGUAUGCAAUCUACCUUAUACAGAGGGAUAGCCCAGAGAAAUUUGGAUUAAUACCUCAUAGUAUUAUGAAAUCGCAUGGUUUUAUAAUUAAAGUUCCAACGGUAUAAGAUGAGCAUGCGUCCCAUUAGUUAGUUGGUAAGGUAACGGCUUACCAAGACAAUGAUGGGUAGGGGUCCUGAGAGGGAGAUCCCCCACACUGGUACUGAGACACGGACCAGACUCCUACGGGAGGCAGCAGUGAGGAAUAUUGGUCAAUGGACGCAAGUCUGAACCAGCCAUGCCGCGUGCAGGAUGACGGUCCUAUGGAUUGUAAACUGCUUUUAUACAGGAAGAAACACUCCCUCGUGAGGGAACUUGACGGUACUGUAGGAAUAAGGAUCGGCUAACUCCGUGCCAGCAGCCGCCGUAAUAC
rnacentral:rRNA from 1 species